CCUACGGGUGGCAGCAGUGAGGAAUAUUGGUCAAUGGACGCAAGUCUGAACCAGCCAUGCCGCGUGCGGGAAGACGGCUCUAUGAAUUGUACACUGCUUUUGUACGAGGGUAAACGCAGAUACGCGUAUCUGUCUGAAAGUAUCGUACGAAUAAGGAUCGGCUAACUCCGUGCCAGCAGCCGCGGUAAUACGGUGGAUUCAAGCGUUAUCCGGAUUUAUUGGGUUUAAAGGGUGCGUAGGCGGUCGGAUAAGUUAGCGGUUAAAUCCCGAGGCUCAACUUCGGACCUGCCUCUGAUACUGUCCGGCUAGAGAGUAGUAGCGGUAGGCGGAAUGUAUGGUGUAGCGGUGAAAUGCUUAGAGAUCAUACAGAACACCGAUUGCGAAGGCAGCUUACCAGGCCAAUUCUGACGCUGAGGCACGAAAGCGUGGGGAGCAAACAGGAUUAGAUACCCUUGUAGUC
rnacentral:rRNA from 1 species